GCCGGGCGCGGUGGCUCACGCCUGUAAUCCCAGCACUUUGGGAGGCCGAGGCGGGAGAAUCGCUUGAGCUCAGGAGUUUUGAGACCACCAGCCUGGGCAACAUGGCGAAACCCCGUCUCUA
ensembl:misc_RNA Metazoa_SRP Metazoan signal recognition particle RNA